UGGUUGAUCCUGCCAGAGUCAUAUGCUUGUCUCAAAGAUUAAGCCAUGCAUGUGUAAGUAUGAACUAUUUCAGACUGUGAAACCGCGAAUGGCUCAUUAAAUCAGUUAUAGUUUGUUUGAUGGUACGCGCUACCGGAUAACCGUAGUAAUUCUAGAGCUAAUACGCGCAACAAACCCCGACUUCCGGAAGGGAUGCAUUUAUUAGAUAAAAGGCUGAGGGGGCUUUGCUCGCCGUCUGGCGAUUCAUGAUAACUGACGGAUCGCACGCCCCGUCGUCGGGCGACGAUCAUUCAAAUUUCUGCCCUAUCAACUUUCGAUGGUAGGAUAGGGGCCUACCAUGGUGGUGACGGGUGACGGAGAAUUAGGGUUCGAUUCCCGAGAGGGAGCCCGAGAAACGCUACCACAUCCAAGGAAGGCAGCAGCAAAGCAAAAAUUACCCAACCCGACACGGGAGGUAGUGACAAUAAAUAACAAUACCGGGCUCUUCGAAGUCCGGUAAUUGAAUGAGUACAAUCUAAAUCCCUUUAACGAGGAUCCAUUGAGGGCAAGUCCGGUGCCAGCCAGAAAUGCCAGAAUUCCAGCCCAAUAGCGAUAUUUAAGUUGUUGCAGCUUAAAAAAAAGAGAGUUGACUUUGGGACGGGUCGGUCGGUCGGUCCGCCAUGGUGUGUGUACCGGUCGUCCCCAUCCUUCUCUCGUUUGGCGAUGCGCGUUCGGCCUUAAUCUGGUCGGGUCGUCGCUCCCCCCCGCUUGUUACUUUGAAGAAAUUAGAGUGUUUCAAAGCAAGCCCACGCCUGGAUACAUUAGCAUGGGAUAACAUCACAGGAUUUCGGUCCUAUUGUGUUGGCCUUCGAUCGGAGUAAUGAUUAAGAGGGACAGUCGGGGGGGCAUUCAGAUUUCAUAGUCGAGGUGAAAUUUUUGGAUUUAUGAAAGACGAACCACCGCGAAAAAAUUUGCCAAGGAUGUUUUCAUUAAUCAAGAACGAAAAGUUGGGGGCUCAAGACGAUCGAUACCGCCCCUAGUCUCAACCAUAAACGAUGCCGACCGUGGAUCGGGCGGAUGUUGUUUUAGGACUCACCGCACCUUAUGAGAAAUCAAAGUCUUUGGGUUCCGGGGAGUAUGGUCGCAAGGCUGAAACUUAAAGGAAUUGACGGAAGGGCACCACCAGAGGGAGCCUCAUGCUUAAUUUGACUCAACACGGGAAACUUACCGUCCGCAUAUAGCAAGGAUUGACAGACCGAGAGAGCUUUUCUUGAUUCUAUGGGUGGUGGUGCAUGGCCGUUUUUAGUUGGUGGAGCGAUUUGUCCGGUUAAUUCCGAUAACUAACGAGACCUCACCGCUAACUAGCUACGCGCGAGGCAUCCUCUCCGCCGCCAGCUUUUAGAGGGACUAUGGCCGCUUAGGCCACGGAAGUUUGAGGCAAUAACAGGUCUGUGAUGCCCUUAGAUGUUCUGGGUCGCGCGACGCCACGCUACACCGAUGUAUUCAACGAAGUCUAUAGCCUUGGCCGACAGUGCCCGGUAAUCUUUUGAAAAUUUCAUCGUGAUGGGGAUAGAUCAUUGCAAUUGUUGGUCUUCAACGAGGAAUUUUAGUAAGCGCCGAAGUCAUCAGCUCGCGCGCUGACUACGCCCCCCCGCCCUUUGUACACACCGCCCGCCGCCGCCCCUACCGAUUGAAUGGUCCGUGAAGUGUUCGAUCGAGGCGACGGGGCGGUUCGCCGCCCGCGACGCCGCGAGAAGUCCACUGAACCUUAUCAUUUAGAGGAAGGAGAAGUCGUGAAUAAGGUUUCCGAGGGUGAACCCGCGCGAA
rnacentral:rRNA from 1 species